rnacentral:misc_RNA from 1 species
GAUGAAGAACGCAGCGAAAUGCGAUACGUAAUGUGAAUUGCAGAAUUCAGUGAAUCAUCGAGUCUUUGAACGCACAUUGCGCCCCCUGGUAUUCCGGGGGGCAUGCCUGUCCGAGCGUCAUUGCUGCCCUCAAGCACGGCUUGUGUGUUGGGCCUCCGUCCUCCUCCCGGGGGACGGGCCCGAAAGGCAGCGGCGGCACCGCGUCCGGUCCUCGAGCGUAUGGGGCUUCGUCACCCGCUCUUGUAGGCCCGGCCGGCGCUUGCCGACACAUCAAUCUUUUUUCCAGGUUGACCUCGGAUCAGGUAGGGAUACCCGCUGAACUUAAGCAUAUCAAUGAGCGGAGGA